rnacentral:pre_miRNA from 1 species
UGCUGGGGAAUAUAAGUUUAUGUGUUUAUUUCUACCCACAUAAACUUGUUUCCACAGCACU